CAAUAUUACCAAAUUGGCCCUUAAUAAAUCAAUAAUUUAUCACAUUAUAAUUCCAUUAAAAUAAAAAAAGUUAAAUUAUUGCCUAAAAAAAUUGUGGAAUGACUUCACACAUGCAGAUUUGUUUUAAAACAAUGAUUUAAUCUAACCUAAUUUCGAAUCAAUCUAAUUUAACCACACCAAAAAUAGCAAACCAACAGAUUCCCAGAUCUACCCCCGAGAAAAUGUACCGAUCUAUAAACCAUAACAUGUUACAAAUAAAAUAGAAAGUGGGUCCAUUUAUUCAUUGCAAAAAUGGAAAAAUAAAAUAAAAUGAAGAGAAAUUAAAAUAAACUCUCAACAUAUACGGCUAAUUGUCAAAAAGUUUUACCCGGAGAAAAUAAUUUUAGGUUAUUAAUUAAUUUCAUGGUCGGUCAUGUACCAUUUCAAAUUGCGUAGCACAAGUAGCGAAAUAUAUUACCAAAAUUUAUUUCCUAUAUUUUGAAGAAAUUGGCGGGUACCUCCUAACAAAAAUGAAUAAUUUUCCCGCCAUUUUGUUUAUAUAAUCUGUUCCAUUUAGCUUAUGUGAAUGAAUAAAUAUAUCCAAAUUUGCUUUACGUAAGUUUCAGCGAAAGAGCAGCUUAGAGCGUCACCCGGAUCGGUAACGAACUCUGAGUUGACUCGCUACACAUCGAGUUCGUGUUCCGCUCCGGAUAUUAUUUAAUUUUCUUUUUAGUAAUGUUUUAUUAGUCGUUUCUCAAAUACGUCGUUGACUCCUCUGUCGGAGAGGGUAAAUCGUGUACAAGUGGACUUUUGUGAAAUCAGUUUUGACCAAAUGGUGUGGGCCCUACAAUCUAAUCGGACGUCAAUAUAUUUUAUUUAUCAAGUUUGAUUGGAUUUAUGGUUUAUGGUUAAUUAAAGGAAAAAAAAAAUUGUGCCAAGUUACCCCAUACUUCAUUUUUAAAGUAGAUCUCUUAUGCGCCACUCGACCUUUAGCUGAGUGGCUGGGCUGCUGCCCUCACAGUUUAAACCCCCACAAAAGUAUUGUGAGAGCUUAAGUAUUUCCUUAAUUAUAUUAUUUAAUUGAUUGGAGGUCAACAUUCUCCUUUAUAAAUGUGAGAGGAGUAUACGUCUUUCUAAUAUUAGUGAAAGUAAAAAUGUAGAUAGUGUUUUAUAAGAAUAUAUGUAAACUAAUCUCAAUAAUAGUCUCAUUUAUAGUCUAAUUGUCAUAGUAGAUCUCAUGCAAAAUA
rnacentral:lncRNA from 1 species